GUANUCAUAUGCUUGUCUCAAAGAUUAAGCCAUGCAUGUCUAAGUAUAAGCAAUUAUACCGUGAAACUGCGAAUGGCUCAUUAAAUCAGUUAUCGUUUAUUUGAUAGUACCUUACUACUUGGAUAACCGUGGUAAUUCUAGAGCUAAUACAUGCUGAAAACCCCAACUUCGGGAGGGGUGUAUUUAUUAGAUAAAAAACCAACGCCCUUCGGGGCUUCUUGGUGAUUCAUGAUAACUUCACGGAUCGCAUGGCCUUGCGCCGGCGACGGUUCAUUCAAAUUUCUGCCCUAUCAACUUUCGAUGGUAAGGUAUUGGCUUACCAUGGUUUCAACGGGUAACGGGGAAU
rnacentral:rRNA from 1 species